CAGGAAGGAAGGGCCCUUCCGGCGGGACGCCCGGGCCAAAACCUCGUUUGUCCCGCUGCCUUAACCAAGAAGCUUGAGGAGCAGCAGGAGAGGCGGCGUGUGCCCUGUCGGCAGUGCUGAAGUAGCACGGAGACACUGGGGCACAGACGGAUGAGAGGCUGUGCCAAGAUCAGCGCUGGCUGGGCCACCAAAACUGCUGCACAGGCAGCAUCCAGAGAGAAUGGAAUUUGUCACAUCAACACUGAUACUGCAGCUAAGCUUCAGUGCUUUAUAUGGGACUGUUUGGUGGAAGAGGAAACUGCAGUACUGAAAGCAGUCGGUGCUUGAAUGCAUGAGACCAUGACCUCUCACAGAAAGCAAAGAAUGUCUUCAGAAACUUAAAGAAAUACAAACUCAGUUAAAUCCUUUCAAGGUUCUUCUUCACAAGGCAACAAUAAACCAGUGUUUCACUUUUCUUAGAGCUGUUACUUGCAUAUUUGGGGAAAAGGAAGGCUAAUGUUCCGACUAAGGUGUGUACAAGAUCUAUUGCUGUCCCUUCAGACUGAGAUUUGUAGUUUGACAUACUAUUAAAACCACAGAGAUCAACUUAAAAAAAGAAUAAAAGGCAAAAACUUUGA